rnacentral:rRNA from 1 species
AGAGAGAGACAUGCGCGCAUAUCAAUAAGCGGAGGAAAAGAAACUAACUAGGAUUCCCUCAGUAACGGCGAGUGAAGCGGGAAGAGCUCAAAUUUGAAAUCUUCAAGGUUCUACCUUGACGAAUUGUAGUUUAAAGAAGUGUUUCUGUUGGAGUUUUGGUAAAAGUUCUUUGGAAUAGGACAUCAUAGAGGGUGAGAAUCCCGUAUUUGACCAUUAUUUCCAGCUUUGUGAUACACUUUCAAAGAGUCGGAUUGUUUGGGAAUGCAGUCCAAAAUGGGUGGUAAAUUUCAUCUAAAGCUAAAUACUGGCGAGAGACCGAUAGCGAACAAGUACCGUGAGGGAAAGAUGAAAAGAACUUUGAAAAGGGAGUUAAACAGUACGUGAAAUUGUCAAAAGGGAAGCGUUUGACAUCAGUGUUGUUUUCUCGAAAAUCAAUUAAAAAAGGCAGGAUUUUGUGUUGUAUUGACUUUAUCAGCUUUCUGCACUCUUUUCUUGUCUUUUUUAAUGCACUUUUCGUUUAACAAGUCAACAUCAAUUUCUUUUGUUGUAAAAGGGUCAUUGGAAGGUGGCUUUCUUUUCGGAGAAAGUGUUUAUAGCCUUUGCCUCUGCAAUCGGAGAGAUUGAGGUCUGCAGCGUAGAUCCUUCGGGGUUAGAUACAUUUGUGCUAAGUUAUAGCCUUUCAUAGACAACUCGUUGACUAUGAUCAGUCAUGUAGCUUACUCGCUUAUGCUAUUUUACCUACGCUUAGGAUGUUGAUGUGAUACUGCGAGCA